GCGGGUUUAACUCAGUGGCCAGAGUGUCAGCCUUCCAAGCUGUUCGUCAUCGGUUCGAAUCCGAUAAUCCGCUCCA
rnacentral:tRNA from 1 species